UAACUCUUCCCUUCACUUCAUAUUGCAUUAAUUGUUAAUUUAAUCUCUCACACACUCAUAUGCUCUCCCCUCCUCUCUCUCCCCUCCUCUCUCUUCCCUCUCUCUCUUCCCUCUCUCUCACCUCUCUCUAUACCCCCCCGCUCUCCUCACUCUCCCUCUCUAUGACCUCCUCUCCUCUCUUCUCCCCCCUCUCUCUCUCUCUCUACGCCUCCUCUCCCUUACGAUAUCUAUAUUCUCUCUCUAUCUCCCCCCUCAUCUCUCUCUAUCUCUUUCUCUCUCUCUCUCUCCUCCCCCUCUCUCUCUCUUCCCCCCCUCUUCUCCUUUAUAGAACGACUGUUGUACGCGUGCAGACAUGCGUGUGUUCACGCAGUAGUUGGAGAACUUUGGUCUUGCAGAGAAGAUUCCAGACUACAGUGACGGGGUUGAUCAGCAGCCUCUGGCCGUGGUGGGCUCCCCCUACUGGAUGGCCCCGGAGGUGCUGAGAGGAGAGCUCUAUGAUGAAAAGGUACUA
rnacentral:lncRNA from 1 species